rnacentral:rRNA from 1 species
GAUGAACGCUGGCGGCGUGCCUAAUACAUGCAAGUCGAGCGAACAGAUGAGGAGCUUGCUCCUCUGACGUUAGCAGCGGACGGGUGAGUAACACGUGGAUAACCUACCUAUAAGACUGGGAUAACUUCGGGAAACCGGAGCUAAUACCGGAUAAUAUAUUGAACCGCAUGGUUCAAUAGUGAAAGACGGUUUUGCUGUCACUUAUAGAUGGAUCCGCGCCGCAUUAGCUAGUUGGUAAGGUAACGGCUUACCAAGGCAACGAUGCGUAGCCGACCUGAGAGGGUGAUCGGCCACACUGGAACUGAGACACGGUCCAGACUCCUACGGGAGGCAGCAGUAGGGAAUCUUCCGCAAUGGGCGAAAGCCUGACGGAGCAACGCCGCGUGAGUGAUGAAGGUCUUCGGAUCGGAAAACUCUGUUAUUAGGGAAGAACAAAUGUGUAAGUAACUAUGCACGUCUUGACGGUACCUAAUCAGAAAGCCACGGCUAACUACGUG